CUCAGUUAGUUUAAGCGCUGCACCGGAAUUGUAGAGCCGCCCGUUCGAUUCUUGCUAAAGGGCCUAUAGUUGCAUUUUUCGCAACUUCUCAUAGUUUGGUCUAUAUAAAUGUAUAAAAUUGACAAUCAAGAUUUCCAUCUACAGUCUCUCUAGUUAUUUUUAUUUUUAUUUUAUGAAGUGUUCAAGCUGCAGGAAACCGAUGUCCAAACGUUUUGCAUUGGUCUGGGAACAAGCUAUGAUAAAACUGGGUGUAGCAAGAUGGUGGAG